UCAUGUAACAAAAAGAUAUGAUAUACAUUUGCAUUGCUUAACACAGGUAGCAAAAGAAUGAGUUCUUUGCGGAGAUUAAAGCUUGGAAGUUCUAAGUCCAACUCGGAGACGUUCUAAUUCCAACUCGACCAAGAUAUUAACAACAACAACAACCCAGUAUAAUCCUACUUAGUGGGGUCUGGGGAGGGUAGUGUGUAAGCAGACCUUACCCCUACCCUUGGGUAGAGAGGCUGUUUCCAAAUAGACCCCCGACAUCCUUCCCUCCAAGAACUUCCCAGGGUAGUGUGUAAGCAGACCUUACCCCUACCCUUGGGUAGAGAGGCUGUUUCCAAAUAGAUCCCGGCAUCAUUCCCUCCAAGAACUUACCACCUUGCUCUUGGAGAGAGUCGAACUCACAACCUCUCGGUUGGAAGUGGGAUUGCUUACCAUCAGAGCAACCCCUCUUGUCAAGUCUCUCCACUCACUUUAUU
rnacentral:lncRNA from 1 species